GCUCGUAUAGCUCAGCGGUAGAGCGUCUCACUCGUAUCCAGCUCCGGCGGAUUGAGUGUGAUAUGAGAAGGUCCUAGGUUCAAGUCCUAGUUCGAGCA
rnacentral:tRNA from 1 species